CGCGGGAUGGAGCAGUCCGGUAGCUCGUUGGGCUCAUAACCCAAAGGUCGCAGGUUCGAAUCCUGCUCCCGCUA
rnacentral:tRNA from 1 species